UUAACUGUUGUAAUUUUUCAAUUUUAAUAUUCACCCCCCACUGCUCGACUUGUGGAUCCUUUCACGCGGCCUUCGGCAGUGCCUAGCCGUGUCGCCUAUGGGCGGGCGGGCCUCCCGCGCCGACACUUUUAGCCGCGGCCAUGGCGGGUGCACGGCGUCGGCCCGGUGAGCUCGUGCUGCUCGGCCCAGCCGGGGGCACCAGCGCUAGGGGGCCUCCGUCAGCGCCUUGCCGCCGUCGCCUACAGGCGGGCUGGCCUUCCGCGUCAACACCUACGGCCGGGGUGCGGCGUCGGCGAGCGAGCGAGCUGGCGUUACUCAGCCCAGCCGGAGAGCCGCUCGUCACAGUUCGCCCGGGACACCUCCACCUGGGAGGGCUCCUGGGCGCACACGCCGAUGCCCAGAAACUGCUCUUCUAGACUCGUCGGUCUCCAUACUCGUCGGUGCUAUGGCCGGCGCCGUCGUCGAGCUCCUCCCGUUGGUCUCCUCGCCGACCUGCUCUACAUCGACAGGUCCUUCACUUGGCGGCACCGGGGCGUGGUGACGGCGCCUAGGGCCAAGGAGUACAAGGCCAAGCUAGUGGUGGAAAUCAAGAGGAAGGGGACCAGUUCGCUGGCGACGAGCCCGGAGCGACAUCCUCGAUGCCAAGAUCCGGUGACCGAUUCACCGCUGUCGCUCAGGAAAAGCAAGCCCGCCACAACCAGCCCCAUCACCACCGCCAGGAGCAGCUUGUGCGACGAUGCCCGGCGCGGGCUGCCCCCGCCGCCGUGUCGGGAGGGUGGUCGUGUAGCGAGCGGAAACUGCAGCCGAAACGUCCAGGGUCUCUAGCGACCCAGACAAGCGACGGCGCUCUGGAGUCUUCGGAGCCAGAUAUUUUUCUCCUGCGAACACGUGCCCUCCGCUGGAUGGAUGAAGGUACUGUAGUGGAGAAGGGAGGUUCGGUUUCUGCUUUCGCCAUGUGAGAACUGAAGCAGUGUUUGGUCAAGUCUCUCCUCCAUCUGAUCAGUGCUCGGUAAGAAUAAGGGAGAGAAUGGAAUUGCGAAACAGAUGCAAAUCGAUGGUACUACGGAGAGACAAUUCUCAAUGAUUCCCAGCUCACUGCUCAUUCUCUCCUCCACCAGCUCUCGCUGUGUGCUCUCUUCCAGACGAGAUUCCCCAAAUGGAGAUGCUACUUUCUGCAGUCCUUGGUGUGUUUGAACAGAUAUUUCUUCUUUCUUUCACGCUACAAUUAUUAACUUUCAGCAGAUGUUGUUCUUCUAAAUAUGUAGAAUGAGACCAGACAAAAUAAUUGAGGACACAUCAGGCCGCCAGAUUGGACAAAAACUAGUCAGUUUUAUCUCCGAGAGUAUCAGCACCCUUAAUUACCAACACAAUCAAAUAAUUAA